rnacentral:rRNA from 1 species
UAUGUGAUCGUCUCUCGCAUAUCAAUAAGCGGAGGAAAAGAAACUAACAAGGAUUCCCCUAGUAACGGCGAGUGAAGCGGGAAGAGCUCAAAUUUGAAAUCUUAAAGGGUUUCCCUUUACGAAUUGUAGUUUAAAGAAGUGUUUUCUGUUGAGGUUUUGGUAAAGUUCUUUGGAAUAGGACAUCAUAGAGGGUGAGAAUCCCGUAUUUGACCUUUACUUUCAACUUUGUGAUACACUUUCAAAGAGUCGGAUUGUUUGGGAAUGCAGUCCAAAAUGGGUGGUAAAUUUCAUCUAAAGCUAAAUAUUGGCGAGAGACCGAUAGCGAACAAGUACCGUGAGGGAAAGAUGAAAAGAACUUUGAAAAGAGAGUUAAACAGUACGUGAAAUUGUCAAAAGGGAAGCGUUUGACACCAGUGUUGUUUUUCUGAAAAUCAAUUAAAGAACUGUUUAUGCUAAGUUGUUUAGACUUUAUCAGCUAACUGUUUAGUUUUGAGCUUUUCUUUAAUGCACUUUUCAGUUAACAAGUCAACAUCAAUUUCUUUUGCUGUAAAAAAGCUUGAGGAAGGUGGCUUGAGAUUCGUCUUAAGUGUUUAUAGCCUCUUGCCUAUGCAGUCGGAGAGAUUGAGGUCUGCAGCGUAGAUCCUUCGGGGCUAAAUGCAUUUGUGCUAAGUUAUAGCAUUUCAUAGACAACUUGUUGACUAUGAUUUGUCUUGUAGCUUACUCGCUUAUGUUAUUUUACCUACGCUUAGGAUGUUGAAGACUCUACAGAGAUA